rnacentral:tRNA from 1 species
GCGAGGCUUGCCGAGCCGGUCAAAGGCGCCGGAUUUAGGGUCCGGUCUUUAGUAGUUCGCAGGUUCGAAUCCUGCGCCUCGCA